UGAAGGAACUAGGCAAAAUGGUGCCGUAACUUCGGGAGAAGGCACGCUGGCGCGUAGGUGAAGAGACUUGCUCUCGGAGCUGAAGCCAGUCGCAGAUACCAGCUGGCUGCAACUGUUUAAUAAAAACACAGCACUGUGCAAACACGAAAGUGGACGUAUACGGUGUGACGCCUGCCCGGUGCUGGAAGGUUAAUUGAUGGGGUCAGCCGCAAGGCGAAGCUCUUGAUCGAAGCCCCAGUAAACGGCGGCCGUAACUAUAACGGUCCUAAGGUAGCGAAAUUCCUUGUCGGGUAAGUUCCGACCUGCACGAAUGGCGUAAUGAUGGCCAGGCUGUCUCCACCCGAGACUCAGUGAAAUUGAACUCGCUGUGAAGAUGCAGUGUACCCGCGGCAAGACGGAAAGACCCCGUGAACCUUUACUAUAGCUUGACACUGAACAUUGAGCCUUGAUGUGUAGGAUAGGUGGGAGGCUUUGAAGUGUGGACGCCAGUCUGCAUGGAGCCAACCUUGAAAUACCACCCUUUAAUGUUUGAUGUUCUAACUCGGCCCCGUAAUCCGGGGUGAGGACAGUGUCUGGUGGGUAGUUUGACUGGGGCGGUCUCCUCCCAAAGAGUAACGGAGGAGCACGAAGGUUAGCUAAUCACGGUCGGACAUCGUGAGGUUAGUGCAAAGGCAUAAGCUAGCUUGACUGCGAGAGUGACGGCUCGAGCAGGUACGAAAGUAGGUCUUAGUGAUCCGGUGGUUCUGAAUGGAAGGGCCAUCGCUCAACGGAUAAAAGGUACUCCGGGGAUAACAGGCUGAUACCGCCCAAGAGUUCAUAUCGACGGCGGUGUUUGGCACCUCGAUGUCGGCUCAUCACAUCCUGGGGCUGAAGUAGGUCCCAAGGGUAUGGCUGUUCGCCAUUUAAAGUGGUACGCGAGCUGGGUUUAGAACGUCGUGAGACAGUUCGGUCCCUAUCUGCCGUGGGCGUUGGAAGAUUGAGAGGGGUUGCUCCUAGUACGAGAGGACCGGAGUGAACGCACCACUGGUGUUCGGGUUGUCAUGCCAAUGGCACUGCCCGGUAGCUAAGUGCGGAAAAGAUAAGCGCUGAAAGCAUCUAAGCGCGAAACUUGCCUCGAGAUGA
rnacentral:rRNA from 1 species